CCUACGGGGGGCUGCAGUGGGGAAUAUUGGACAAUGGGGGGAACCCUGAUCCAGCCAUGCCGCGUGUGUGAAGAAGGCCCUCGGGUUGUAAAGCACUUUCAGUGAGGAAGAACGCCUGGUGGUUAAUACCCAUCAGGAAAGACAUCACUCACAGAAGAAGCACCGGCUAACUCCGUGCCAGCAGCCGCGGUAAUACGGAGGGUGCGAGCGUUAAUCGGAAUUACUGGGCGUAAAGCGCGCGUAGGUGGCUUGAUAAGCCGGUUGUGAAAGCCCCGGGCUCAACCUGGGAACGGCAUCCGGAACUGUCAAGCUAGAGUGAAGGAGAGGAAGGUAGAAUUCCCGGUGUAGCGGUGAAAUGCGUAGAGAUCGGGAGGAAUACCAGUGGCGAAGGCGGCCUUCUGGACUGACACUGACACUGAGGUGCGAAAGCGUGGGUAGCAAACAGGAUUAGAUACCCUAGUAGUC
rnacentral:rRNA from 1 species